UGGGGGUUGGCGAAGCGGAUUAACGCAUCGGUAUUUGACGCCGACAUUUUCAUCAGUUCAAAUCUGAUACCCCCAG
rnacentral:tRNA from 1 species